rnacentral:rRNA from 1 species
GACGAACGCUGGCGGCGUGCUUAACACAUGCAAGUCGAACGGUGAAGGGGUCUGCUUUUGUGGGCCCUGGAUGAGUGGCGCAUGGGUGAGUAACACGUGAGUAACCUGCCCCCUUCUUCUGGAUAACCGCAUGAAAGUGUGGCUAAUACGGGAUAUUCUGGGUCUGUCGCAUGAUGGGUCUGGGAAAGAUUGCGCCUUUGGGUGUUUUUGGUGGGGGAUGGGCUGGCGGACUAUCAGCUUGUUGGUGGGGUGAUGGCCUACCAAGGCGGUGACGGGUAGCCGGCCUGAGAGGGUGGACGGUCACACUGGGACUGAGACACGGCCCAGACUCCUACGGGAGGCAGCAGUGGGGAAUAUUGCACAAUGGGCGCAAGCCUGAUGCAGCGACGCCGCGUGAGGGAGGGAGGCCUUCGGGUUGUAAACCUCUUUCGCCAGUGAAGCAGGCCUGCUCCUUGUGGGUGGGUUGACGGUAGCUGGAGAAGAAGCGCCGGCUAACUACGUG